rnacentral:lncRNA from 10 species
GAAUGUCAGUGACUGUUGGGUAGUGAAUAUAUUUUCUGCUUGGAUCCCCCAAAUACCCAACUUUUGCUGUUUCUGGUCACUGUAGGGUUAGCUCUUGGCUGGUCUUUUGGGAGGUUUUCCCAGUCUGAAGGGCAGUGGAAACCUCUGCUGAUUCCCUAUGCAGUGGAUGAAUUUUUGGCUAAAGUUGUCUUAGUUCCUGCCUUAUUUACUGGUAUAGCAAGUUGGUGUAUGUGGCAUAGGUACACCUUGCUUUAUGUGAAAGUCACACCAGAAGGGCAGUAAAGGGGAAACAGUGCUAACUCUAGAGUUAGCAGACCCAGGCUCUGGUUCUCACAUGGCCUUUGCUCCCUCAGGCUUCCUAGUGUUCCCAUGAUCUUUUGCUGAAUUACUUCAAAAUCUAGGGAUUUGAAACAAGCAUGUCAUAAGCACAUGUAUUGUGUGGGUCAGGAAUUUGGAGAGGCCACAGUGGAGUGGCUUGUCUCUGGUCCACAAGCUUGGACCUGGGCUGGAAGGACUCAAAGACUGAAGAUGACUUGAUGCUAAGGGCUGGGAUUAUCUGAAAUGUCUCUCCAUGGGCUUGGCUUCAUGGCCACCUCAGCACGGUAGGACUUUUUAAAACAUUAAAAAAAAA